AGUGAUAAUAGUGAUCGACCACGACAACGGUAACGGCAACGUCGUCCUCGUCGUCGUCGCCGUUGUCGUCGUCGUUAGUGCUGGUGAUAAUAGCUAGUGAACGACUACGACAACGGUAGCGGCAGCGGAGGACAACGGGAAGCCGCCGUAUCGUCUGCGAAGACGAACUACGUUAUGUAAGAAACCUAUAAUGAGAUAUCAAAAGGUUUCUUGCUCCAUAGACCGUUCUGCAGAGAUCCGCAGAUGUCGCAUUUAGUUCCACAGAAGGCCGCAGAUGUCGCAGGACCAUUAGAGUCUAGACCGACCUCGAUUGAGUUCGCCGGUCACUUUAGCAUCCCCUUAAAUCCACUGAUCAGAGCCCAGUUUUCACUCUGCUGAUAGUAAAUUGCACGAGAAUAGAGAAUUAAACAGCGAAUUGCUAUAGCAGUUAGCGAAUCAACCUGACAAGUUGAUAAAGGAAUUAUUGAAUAUCGUCGAGGAGGGCCUCUUUAUGAAUAAAGAAACGAACGAAGUGCCAGAUGUGUCAAACACUGCGCUCUUCAAAUUGCUUUACAUAAUUAAACACGCCAUCAAAGAGUUAAUUCACCUGGACGUAUUUACAAGAAAUUAAAGUGAAAAAGAGAAUGCGAUGGACGACGCCGAGGCGAAGUUUGUAAAUGGCGCACUCAAACACGAAAUCGUUACUGGGGAUGGCUUGCUCAAAAUUUUCCGCUGGAUGUAUGCAAGUAUCCCGACAAGUAUAACAACAAAAGCGUACAGGCUGCAAGUCCAUUCCCACUCAGCACAUUCAUGAUGAUGAGCUCUGAAUUUUGCGAAUAAUCUGUGCAACUUUUAAUCACCACAUUGGAGCGAUCAUCGCCGCAUCCUGGGAUCUGAUCAAAUAUAUUUUGAUCGGAUUAAAUGAUCUCGCUACUAAAUUCUUUAAUCAGGUGGAACUAUGGUCAAAAAACAUCUACGGCAAACUUUGAGAUGAUGUAUACAUACGUAGGACAUGCGUUUGUAUGUUGUCAAAUGUAGCUAUUAAUAAGAGAAAUGAUACGCGUGAAGGGAUAGAUUUCGGAAUUUACGAAGGCAUUCAUCGUUUAACUUUUUCAAAAAGGCAACACCUCAUACAAUAUAGUUCCGGAUAUAUUGCCACUCUUAGCGGAUUCUCAAUUAAGAGAGAAGAAGGAAGAAGCAGAGGCUGGAGAAGUGGAUCCGGACGCGGCCUAACAGACAAGAUAUUUUACUCACUCUUUUUGAGCGAUGUCCUUACGGAUAAAAAAAAAUUUUAAUAUUUUAAUUUUAAUUUUAAUCUGCCCACGAAGGACCAGCAAUAUCAUUAACAUCCACUGUACGUAAUGUUAAAUUAUUCUGGUCUUUUUUAGCGCUACUUUCAUAUAAUUUAUCUGGCGACAUAAGAGAUAAAACUUUUUCCUUUAUCGUCAUGUUUAUAUAAGUUUUGUUUCUUACUUUUAAUGACGACUUAAUAACGCAAAUGGCAUUAAUGCUUGCCGACGAAAGUUUAUUACGUUUCAUUUUUAUAUCUGUUAAAAGUGAAAAUAUUCUUUCCGCAUCGGCAUUUGAAUUUGGAAGACAUCGAACAGCAUUCAGAAGACUUUUUAAGUUUGGAUAUUUAUCUUUAUUAUUAACGUUGUGACAUUGCAAAAUUCUUUUCCACAUUUCGUCAAACGUUUUUGUUGAAAAAGUUUCCUUUCCUUAUUUGUAAAGUCUGAUAGCAAUCCAUUCUUUUUUUAAAUCAUCUUCUUCAAAACCACCGAUAGUUUUGGCUACGAAAGAAACAUCUUUAAAUGAUGUUUCUCUAUCUGUAUUAUAUAAAGUUAUAUAUAGUCGGAAAACAUUUAACUUUGAUAAAAAUAAAUUAUUAAUGGGUAACCUUUUACGAAUUUCUUCUGCAGCAGUCACAUAAAACGACACACAAUUCUCUCGAACUGUUGCAACAUCGUUUUCGUGACCUUGCAUUAUUAUUUCGUUUAGAUAUUCAUUGCAAUCCGGUCCAAAAGUAAUUUUAUGUAACACUAUGAUUUUCUUUUUCAGAGAAUACUAUGUUCAUAAGUGAGAAAUGGUAUCAAAUCGACAUCAACUUGAUAUCGAAAUGUGAUAUCGAUCCUCACAUCGAUUUCGAUAUUCAGGUGGUCACAGUUUUGAUCACCGACAUCGAAUCGAUGUCAAUUCGACAUCAAUCAUCGAUAUCGUAUUGACGUCGAAUCGAUGUCAAUUCAAUAAAAUGUUUUGUACCCGCCAGGUAUCGAUCAUGUAAUUUUCCCUAGGGCGGAAAGGUGAAAUCUUUCGCUAUUGAAGUUAAUGGCAAAAUUUUUCACUUUUUACCUUUCCGCUCUAAGGAAAGUUACAUGAUCACUACCCAAAAAUAAUAAUGAAAUUGACAUUAAUUCGACGCCGAAAUCAUAAAUAUUCUAAGUAGCAAGCUGACGUUGUUUAUCGUCGUUUUUGACGUCAAAAUAUCGACAAAUAACGUUAACUAACUAUCAGGUAUACUUUACCAAUUACAGUUAGAUUAAAUUAGCAGGGUGUACGGUCAACGGAAGAAAGGUUGCAGCACACAAUACGUUUUUGUUGCAGUUUUAUUAGAUAACAUAAAUAUUAUAUGUAUUAUAUUUUCCUGCGCCUCCUCUAAUUGUAAUGAAACAAUACUAUUAUUAUCAUCACUAUAAUAAGCACUUGCAACUUCA